rnacentral:rRNA from 1 species
UAAUACGUAGGGGGCGAGCGUUAUCCGGAUUUAUUGGGCGUAAAGCGUGUGUAGGCGGUUUGUUAAGUCUAAGAUGAAAGCCCGAGGCUCAACCUCGGAUUGUUUUAGAUACUGGCAGACUAGAGUGUGGUAGAGGCAAAUGGAAUUCCUAGUGUAGCGGUGAAAUGCGUAGAUAUUAGGAGGAACAUCAGUGGCGAAGGCGAUUUGCUGGGCCAUUACUGACGCUGAGACACGAAAGCGUGGGGAGCAAAUAGG